GCACAUUUAGUGUAGUGGUAUCAUAGUAACCUCUUACGAUAUUGACCAGGGUUUGAUUCCCCGAAUGUGCA